GGCGCUGUAGCAUAGGGUGUUGCACUGCAGUUUACUUGAGACAUAACAGAUUGUUUCGCGGAUGUCCCGGGUUCGACUCCUGGCAGCGCCG